rnacentral:rRNA from 1 species
GAAGCUGCUGACACUUUUGUAGGUGGACCAUUUGCUCUAUAUUCGCUCCUCUGCAGGCAUGCAAAGCUUAGCUUGCUUCCGAAUCAACAUGCAACGCAAGAGUUAUCUACAUACUACAGAAAUGGGUUCGCAGCUCAGCAUGGAUCUUCACCCUGGCUAAGAAGGUUCCUAGAGAGGCACAAAACAGUCAAAACUGGACUUCUUGUAGUAGUUCGCUGUGGCGCUAGCAUAGUGAUCGGUGAUGGUGUCCUUACUCCAGCAAUCUCAGGUGGAUAA